rnacentral:rRNA from 1 species
GAGUUUGAUCCUGGCUCAGAACGAACGCUGGCGGCGUGCUUAACACAUGCAAGUCAGGGAGAAAGUCUCUUCGGGGAUGAUUAAACCGGCGCACGGGUGAGUAACACGUGAGUGACCUGCCUUUUAGACUGGAACAACUUACCGAAAGGUGAGCUGAUGCCGGAUGAGUUAUAUAAGUGCAUGUUUAUAUAGGAAAAGUUGGGGAGACCUGACGCUGAAAGAUGGACUCGCGUCCCAUUAGCUAGUUGGUAGGGUAAUGGCCUACCAAGGCGACGAUGGGUAGCCGGCCUGAGAGGGUGGCCGGCCACACUGGGACUGAGACACGGCCCAGACUCCUACGGGAGGCAGCAGUGGGGAAUUUUGCGCAAUGCUCGUAAGAGUGACGCAGCGACGCCGCGUGAAUGACGAAGGCCUUCGGGUCGUGAAGUUCUUUCGACAGGGAAGAAAAUGCCUAUAAGUAACUGUGUAUGUAUUGACGGUACCUGUAUAAGCAGCCCCGGCUAACUCCGUGCCAGCAGCCGCGGUAAUACGGAGGGGGCGAGCGUUGUUCGGAGUGACUGGGCGUAAAGAGCACGUAGACGGUGUUGUAAGUCAUUAGUCAAAGACUAGAGCUCAACUUUAGUAAGGCUAGUGAUACUAUAAUACUAGAGUAUCA